UAUUUUUCUUCCACACAUUUUGUCCGCGCGAGUUCUCAGAAUUGAACUGACCAAUGUUUAUGGAACUCAACUAUAAUGAGGAACCCCACUUGAAGUUGUGCACCUUGCUAUGGAAUGGUAAAAGAUGGCCGCCGUUUCCAUGGAAACAGCACAAAUGCGAAAAAAAUCAAAGUGGUUCCAAACUGGAAGAAACUCCACAGGAAUGUUAACUGGCAUGUGCUGAUUUCCAGUUUGACUUUGGAAUUUUCAAAAUGGCUGCCGUUACCAUGGAAACAGCUAAAAUAUCAAAAAUUCUAACUCUUUCGUUAUAACAUCCAACUGGAUGAAACUUUAUGAAAAU
rnacentral:lncRNA from 1 species